rnacentral:rRNA from 1 species
UACGUGGGGGGCUAGCGUUGUCCGGAAUCAUUGGGCGUAAAGCGCGUGUAGGCGGUCCGGUAAGUCCGCUGUGAAAGUCGAGGGCUCAACCCUCGGAUGCCGGUGGAUACUGUCGGGCUUGAGUACGGAAGAGGCGAGUGGAAUUCCUGGUGUAGCGGUGAAGUGCGCAGAUAUCAGGAGGAACACCAAUUGCGAAGGCAGCUCGCUGGGACGUUACUGACGCUGAGACGCGAAAGCGUGGGGAGCAAACAGG